GUUCAUCUUUUUAUUCUGUUGGGUUGCCACUACAUGCUGCUAAGCAUCAUUGGUAGAUUGUGGGAUCAAUGAGAAUUAUUUUGAUGAUCAAUAAUUCUUGCUUGGUGAGUUGGAAUCGUUUCAAUCCAUUGAAAGGAGUUUGAAUGAUAUUUUGAUGGAGAUUUAAAUAUUUCUUACAAUCAGACAGAAUAGAACCUAUGGAGUCACACAUAAAAG
rnacentral:lncRNA from 1 species